rnacentral:rRNA from 1 species
CCUACGGGUGGCAGCAGUGGGGAAUAUUGGACAAUGGGCGAAAGCCUGAUCCAGCCAUGCCGCGUGUGUGAAGAAGGCCUUCGGGUUGUAAAGCACUUUCAGUGGGGAAGAAAGCCUUGGGGCUAAUACCCUCGAGGAAGGACAUCACCCACAGAAGAAGCACCGGCUAACUCCGUGCCAGCAGCCGCGGUAAUACGGAGGGUGCGAGCGUUAAUCGGAAUUACUGGGCGUAAAGCGCGCGUAGGCGGUCUGAUAAGCCAGUUGUGAAAGCCCCGGGCUCAACCUGGGAACGGCAUCCGGAACUGUCAGGCUAGAGUGCAGGAGAGGAAGGUAGAAUUCCCGGUGUAGCGGUGAAAUGCGUAGAGAUCGGGAGGAAUACCAGUGGCGAAGGCGGCCUUCUGGACUGACACUGACGCUGAGGUGCGAAAGCGUGGGUAGCAAACAGGAUUAGAUACCCGGUAGUC